rnacentral:lncRNA from 1 species
ACGUCGUGACCAAGCACUGCGUCAGGGAGCUGGAGCGUGACAGGGCGGGGCUGGCGCAGCAGGUGCAGCGCGACCUCAACGCCAGGGUCCUCGAGUGGGGCAUCGAAAUCGGCCACGUCGACAUGAGUCAGGUGACGGUGCUGAAGGAGCCUGAACCCAACGACCCCCUGAAGCCGUUGCUCGGCGCCC